UACGAAGGGGGCUAGCGUUGCUCGGAAUCACUGGGCGUAAAGCGCACGUAGGCGGAUUGUUAAGUCAGGGGUGAAAUCCUGGAGCUCAACUCCAGAACUGCCUUUGAUACUGAAGAUCUUGAGUUCGGGAGAGGUGAGUGGAACUGCGAGUGUAGAGGUGAAAUUCGUAGAUAUUCGCAAGAACACCAGUGGCGAAGGCGGCUCACUGGCCCGAUACUGACGCUGAGGUGCGAAAGCGUGGGGAGCAAACAGGG
rnacentral:rRNA from 1 species